ACGAUAGUCUAAACUAAAUAAAUUUUUAAACAGUUCAGGAAUUCCGUGAAUCUUUUCAUAACCUGCACUAUAGUUUCACGCGUAUUAAAGAUCCGGCGGUGCCUGACAAAGCGCCGGGUGAGUGUUCAUAUCUGCCAUUUUAAAAUAAUGUUAAUAAAUGUAAUUCUGUCCACUAUGGCAAAAUAGGAUUUUAUUUUAGAUUUAGUGGAAUCUUUAACCAAGUCUCUGAUUAAGACAUGUGUAUACGUGCACAGAUGGUGACAGAGAAACUUAUAUAUGACGUUAAUAAUCUUUUAAAUGUUUUUAAGACGUAUUCACCCCAUUUUGGGGUUUUAUUUUUAAUUAAAGGCUUCUUAAAACAUGUGUGAAUAUGUGUAUAUUAUACAAAGAGUCUUAUAUUGUCUGCUCUGACAAAAAUAAAGUAUUUUUUUAGGUUUAGGGGAAUUGACUGCGUGUGUCUUAUAAAUACAACUUGAUAAUACGUUUGUUUUGUAAAGAGAUUUCUUUAAAGUCACGCAAGAAUAAAAUAUUUUAGUUGUAACUGGUUAAACUUAAAGCCGAUAUUUUCUAUCGAACUAGUCUAUUUUCUGUUCAGACACAAAGUUUUCUGAUGCUGAUAUUAUGUCAGUGUGUGUUUGUGUGGGGGUCGUGUGAUGUAAUCUUUGAAAGUUUAUGACCGAACCUUUAUUGGGGAGCGACAAGAGAUCUCCCGGAAUCAGUUUGGAUGGAGCAGAGCUGUUAUACUCAAGUCUAUUGGUAUGUAUGUGUUUCGCUAUGUUCGUUCCAGUAUUUUGUAUGAUUUAUUUAAAAACUAAAAAUUCGAUCUCUGGUAUUGCAGCGAAAUUGUCUAAACUGGUAUUAACUAUUCCUGGUAAAUCGCGGAGAAGAGUGGCCUGAACAAAAAAGUCAGACCGAGACUAGAACCUCCCGCAGCGUAACACGGAAAUCUUGGAACAAAAGAGACGCCGACUGGCUCGUGUUGUCCGGUUUGGAUAUCAGAGGCAAAGCGAACGUUGUGUGUACUAUUGCAAAAUAUAUAGCGGAUCUCCACGGUUAGGAUACAGACCACAACGCUUUGGACGUAUCUUUAAAAAAGAUUAAAAUCAGAGACUUUUUGGAUUUGUCUGGGGACAUUUUAAACAUUUUGUGGCAAAUUGGAUUUAAAACAUUUCGGAUACUGGAUACCUAGGUUGAUUUGUCCACAGAGCUUGUUUAAGACGUUUUCACCGCAUUUUAGGGUUUAUUUUUAAUUAAAGGCUUCUUAAAACAUGUGUGAAAAUGUGUAUAUUAUACAAUGAGUCUUAUAUUGUCUGCUCUGACAUAAAUAAAUUUUUAUAUUAGAUUUUA